rnacentral:lncRNA from 1 species
AUAAUUGUCAUUAAUUUACGAAUCAAUAUGUUAUGCACUGUAAAAAAAUUUAGGAAAACUUUAAAUAUUAUCUCUAUAGUUUCGCAAUUUUUCCUUCGGUAUUCUAUGGUUUAAAGUAUAUUAUUUCGGUACCCCCGUGAUUUUACUUUUCUUUUUCCAUCAGCACCUCCAACUUUCCAGUAAAUUAUAUACGAAAAACUUCGGAUACAAUAUCUAUAUGAUUUAUCGAAUAUUCACUCUAGUACCUUGUGGUUUAUCAAAUUUUCAUUUUAACAUUUGUGAUUUUAAUUUUGUCACUGAUUUAAUGAAAAAAUUAACGGAUAAGAUAACGGAAAAAGAAAAUGAAACCACAUGAUACUUAAGUGAUACAUUUUAAACCACGGGGUAUAAAAGUAAGAAAGCACGAAACCAUAGGAGUGGCAUUUGAAAUUUUUUUCAAUAGUUUUUGA